rnacentral:rRNA from 1 species
UACAGAGGGUGCAAGCGUUGUUCGGAAUUACUGGGCGUAAAGAGCGCGCAGGCGGUCGUGCAAGUCGCGUGUGAAAGCCCCCGGCUCAACUGGGGAGGGUCACGCGAUACUGCUCGACUCGAAGGCAGGAGAGGGAAGUGGAAUUCCCGGUGUAGUGGUGAAAUGCGUAGAUAUCGGGAGGAACACCUGUGGCGAAAGCGGCGCACUGGACCACAACUGACGCUGAGGCGCGAAAGCUAGGGGAGCAAACAGG